rnacentral:misc_RNA from 1 species
GAUGAAGAACGCAGCGGAAUGCGAUACGUAAUGUGAAUUGCAGAAUUCAGUGAAUCAUCGAAUCUUUGAACGCAUAUUGCGCUCUCUGGUAUUCCGGAGAGCAUGCUUGUUUGAGUAUCAGUAAACACCUCAACUUCCAUAUCUUUUUUGAAAUGGGAGUUGGACUUGAGUGAUCCCAACGCUUUUCCUCACCGAAAAGUGGCGGGUUACUUGAAAUGCAGGUGCAGCUGGACUUUUCUCUGAGCUAUAAGCAUAUCUAUUUAGUCUGCCUAAAAAACAGAUUAUUACCUUUGCUGCAGCUAACAUAAAGGAGAUUAGUUCUUGUGCUGACUGAUGCAGGAUUCACAAAGACAGCUUCGGCCGACUUUGUAAACUCGAUCUCAAAUCAAGUAAGACUACCCGCUGAACUUAAGCAUAUCAAUAAGCGGAGGA